GAUGAACGCUGGCGGCGUGCCUAAUACAUGCAAGUCGAACGAACAGACGAGGAGCUUGCUCCCCUGACGUUCGCGGCGGACGGGUGAGUAACACGUGGAUAACCUACCUAUAAGACUGGGAUAACUUCGUGAAACCGGAGCUUAUACCGGCUUAUAUAUUCAACCGCAUGGUUCAAUACUUACAGACGGUUUUGCUGUCACUUAUAGAUGGAUCCGCGCCGCAUUAGCUAGUUGGUAAGGUAACGGCUUACCAAGGCAACGAUGCGUAGCCGAUCUGAGAGGAUGAUCGGCCACACUGGAACUGAGACACGGUCCAGACUCCUACGGGAGGCAGCAGUAGGGAAUCUUCCGCAAUGGGCGAAAGCCUGACGGAGCAACGCCGCGUGAGUGAUGAAGGUCUUCGGAUCGUAAAGCUCUGUUAGUAGGGAAGAACAAAUGUGUAAGUAACUAUGCACGUAUUGACGGUACCUAAACAGAAAGCCACGGCUAACUACGUG
rnacentral:rRNA from 1 species